UACGUAGGGUGCAAGCGUUAAUCGGAAUUACUGGGCGUAAAGCGUGCGCAGGCGGUUAUGUAAGACAGUUGUGAAAUCCCCGGGCUCAACCUGGGAACUGCAUCUGUGACUGCAUAGCUAGAGUACGGUAGAGGGGGAUGGAAUUCCGCGUGUAGCAGUGAAAUGCGUAGAUAUGCGGAGGAACACCGAUGGCGAAGGCAAUCCCCUGGACCUGUACUGACGCCCAUGCACGAAAGCGUGGGGAGC
rnacentral:rRNA from 1 species